UCGGGAAACCGGGGCGUAAUACCGGGUACGUUCGCCGGGUCGCAUGGCCUGGCGAGGAAAGGAUCGCAAGAUCGCUGGAGGAGGGUCCCGCGGCCUAUCAGCUAGUUGGUGAGGUAACGGCCACCAAGGCGAUGACGGGUAGCUGGCCUGAGAGGGUGGUCAGCCACACUGGAACUGAGACACGGUCCAGACUCCUACGGGAGGCAGCAGUUGGGAAUCUUGGGCAAUGGGCGCAAGCCUGACCCAGCGACGCCGCGUGGGGGAUGAAGGCCUUCGGGUUGUAAACCCCUGUCAGGAGGGACGAAGCUGAAAGGUGACGGUACCUCCAGAGGAAGCCCCGGCUAACUACGUGC
rnacentral:rRNA from 1 species